GGCUUUGUAUUCAUUUUGUGAUUACAGAAUGCAAUUCUGUAGGGGUAAGUUGAGAGUUCUUACCAAGGCCU
rnacentral:tRNA from 1 species